UCGCGCACUCGCGCCCGCGCCCUCACCUCUCUCUCCCCAUCCAAACCCUACCUCGCGCCCGCCUCCCUGCCCUGCCGCCGGCGCCGGCGCCGCCGCUCGCCCGGGCACCCAUCCCCGGCCUCACGCCGCCCAUCUAGAGAGAUGGGGGCCGCGCGCGACGAGGCCGGCGUGCCGUCGUCUCGUCUUCUGCCGCGCCCGCCUCCCUGCCUCGCCGCUGGCCGCCGCCGCCACUGCUCGCCCGGGUACCCGGCCGCGGGUGAUGUGGCCGACGUGCCGCCGUCCCGUCUUCUGCGAGGUCGAGGAGAGCCAAUCCCACCUCGCCGCCAUCUCCUUCAUCCAGCCGGCUGCCGCCUUGGCCGACUCCUCUUCCCCUCCCGUCCUCCUCCUCUCGCGUCUCCUUCCCAUCGUCAGGCCGCAUACUGCUCCACCCUUCCUCCUCCCCUCCCAUCGCUCCCCUCUAACGCUAGGAGUGGGUGAGGAGGCUGAGCCACUGCCCGCUGCCGGCCCGCAACACCUCCUGUUCGACCAUGCCGAGGAAGCACUGGACCUUCAUCCUUGCGUCUGUGCAGAGACGACCCGAGGUGACUUAUAAUCUGUAGCAUAUGUUGCUGCAUUGGGAGAUUUGGAGUACGUGCAUUGAGGCUUAAAUGUGCAAAUGCACACUGCUGGAGCGCCCUUCAGCAACGAGGAGGCCCAAUGCGACACGGCCGCCGCCUGCGUCGGUUCUCCCCAGCACGACACGGCCGCCGCGGGCAUCGGUUCUCCCCAGCACAACCACUCUGAAGACGCCCAGGUCCACUGUAGCUGUUGUUCUCUUGUCUUCUUGCACAUAGUACAUCACUUGAUAGUUGAGACUAUACUGGAAAUCGGAUACUCUGAAGCAGUAAAACGUUUCGAGUUCGAUGGUCAGCUUGGCCCAUACAAUUUGGAUUCUUUUGGAGACUGGAAACAACUUUAAAGCUACUUGUCACAAAGUGUCAUUGAACGCCUUGAGCCAAUUGGUGGCAAUUGCAUUGGAGACAUCAUGGAUGGAUAGAGCUCCCCAAAUGGAUAUGGGGAGACGAUUGAUGGAAACACUUAGAGAAGACAAAUUUGCCAAGAAAGCGCCUGCACACACUGAGAGGAGAGGAUGCUAUUACACAACUAUCCCGCUUCGGUUAAGCACAGAAUUCUGGCAAAGUGUCACUGAAUAUUUCAGAGUUUAUAUCUUUUCUAUGAUGCCCAAAGAAAAUGUGUUUCUAAACCCUUUACUGUUUGUGGCAAUGCUUCUCAUGCUUCCCCAAACAAGCUAUUGCUACUUACAAUUCCGAGAGUAAUAGAACUUGCAUGAUGUGAUCAAAGUUCUUUACUUACUUGCAAUGCUUCCUUUCUUUGCAGCUUUGGAAUAUACAAUAAGGUCAAUCGGCAAUGGCUAGCAAUCAGGAUUAUUAGCUGUCCAAUCACCCAGAAACUUUGAGCUGAAAAUGGAUGGAUGGAUGCACGGUGUGAUAAGAUCAUGAAGAAAGUGUUUUGAAGAGUAUCCCGAGGUUGAGAACAUUUAUAGUGAAUUACAGGAAACAAAACGGUCUUACUCCAGUUCACAUCCAUGGUCUGCACUUGCGUCGCGCCCUUUCCUCUCCCUGCCGCCUUGCCUCUCUCCCUGCCUGCUCGUUGCCCCGGUCGUCUCUGAUGGUGCUCCUAGAUGUGCUAUACAUCACCUCCUCACCUCCUUGGCCACUUCGGUGCCCAUGGCUUUCGUGCUCGUCGGCAGGAUGGUGCAAGGCGCAACUCCGAUGUGGUUCCUCACUGGUUGGAUGGCGUUCAGGCGUAACCCCGGUGCCCUCUGAGUACUGCCUCGGCUACAACCUCCCUCUGUGAGCUCCAUCUUCCCCUGCUCUGCUUCGGCUACUAUAUGGGACAUGGCCAGGGCUAUGAUGAUCAGUUAUGGCUGAUAUAGGCAUGCUCUCAAGCAGUCGAGGCACUUGUGGGUAUUAAUUUGGAUCCUCCCUCGUUUCUUUGAGCUGUUUUGAGCACGUUCUUAUUUUAGUGGCUUUGUCCUUGGAUGGUCAUUUCUAAUGAGUGAUAACCAGGGCAGUUAAACCCUCGUAAGAACAUAUUGAUCCGGUGAUCCAUCCAGAAAUCCAGAAAUAAGUCCAUCCAUCCAGAAAUAAGAAUAGAAACUCCUCAGGCCGCUCCUUAGCGAUUUGGGAUUCCUGGCCGUCGGAUCUGGUUGCUUGAUGGAUCUUGGGCCGUCGGAUCGACCCCUGUAAUGACCUUGUCCGUCGGAUAAAAAAAAUUACUGCUGGAAUGAAUAGUUACUCCCAAAAUGAGAUAUCUCGUGCCACCGCGUUUGAAUCACGUGCCCCAUCGGUCGGAAGCCAUUCUUGCUAGGGCGAUGAUGAUUAGCCGUGGGUAUCAAGUUGGGUCCUCCCUCUUGUCUCUAGAAUCCUUUUUGAUCCUGUGAUACUUAUUGUUCUGUCCUUUGGAUGGUCAUUGAUCUGGUGAUAAGAGAUGAUGGGGGUAGAUUAUAUGAUCGAGGAAAGGCAAAUCUGAGCCCAUAUGCAUUGAACCCUGAACCCUUUUUAUUCGCACGUGGCCCACCGGUCGGAAGCCAUCCUUGCUAGGGCGAUGAUGAUUCGCUGUGGCUGAAAUAAGUGUGCCUUUGAGCAAUCAAGGCACCUGCGGGUAUCAAGUUGGGUCCUCCCUCUUGUCUCUAGAAUCCUUUUUGAUCAUGUGAUGUCCUUGGUGUUGGGGAACGUUGCAGAAAACAAAAAAUUUUCUACGAUUUCACCAAGAUCCAUCUAUGAGUUCAUCUAGCAACGAGUGAUUAGAUUGCAUCUACAUAGCUUUGUAGAUCACGCGCGGAAGCGUUCAAAGAUCGGGGAUGAGGAAGUCGUACACAACGUGAUCCAAAUCACCGGAGAUCCUAGCGCCGAACGGAUGGCACCUCCGCGUUCAACACACGUACGGUCAGCGUGACGUCUCCUCUUUCUUGAUCCAGCAAGGGGGAAGGAGAGGUUGAUGAAGAUCCAGCAGCACGACGGCGUGGUGGUGGAUGCAGGGCGUCACAGUAGUAGGGCUUCGCCGUAUACUACGUGAGAGAGAGGUGCAGCAGGGGAGAGGGAGGCGCCAAAGGCUCAAGGGUGCGGCUGCCCCCUCCCUCCCCUUCAUAUAUAUAGGCUCCCCUAAGGGGGGCGCCGGCCCUAGGAGAUGAGAUCUCCUAGGGAGGGCGGCGGCCAGGGCUGGAGUGGCCCUCAAGGCAAGGUGGGGCGCCCCCCACCCCUAGGGUUUCAACCCUAGGCGCAUGGGGUGGGCCUAGGGGGGCGC